GACGAACGCUGGCGGCGUGCUUAACACAUGCAAGUCGAGCGGUAAGGCUCCUUCGGGAGUACACGAGCGGCGAACGGGUGAGUAACACGUGGGCAAUCUGCCCUUCACUUCGGGGUAACUCCGGGAAACCGGUGCUAAUACCGAAUACGACCACUUCAGGCAUCUGAUGGUGGUGGAAAGUUCCGGCGGUGAAGGAUGAGCUCGCGGCCUAUCAGCUUGUUGGUGGGGUAACGGCCCACCAAGGCAACGACGGGUAGCCGGCCUGAGAGGGUGACCGGCCACACUGGGACUGAGACACGGCCCAGACUCCUACGGGAGGCAGCAGUGGGGAAUAUUGGACAAUGGGCGAAAGCCUGAUCCAGCAACGCCGCGUGAGGGAUGACUGCCUUCGGGUUGUAAACCUCUUUCAGCAGGGACGAAGCGCAAGUGACGGUACCUGCAGAAGAAGCACCGGCCAACUACGUG
rnacentral:rRNA from 1 species